GAGGAAUAUUGGGCAAUGCCCGCAAGGGUGACCCAGCAACGCCGCGUGGAGGAUGAAUGUCGUAAGAUUGUAAACUCCUGUUAGAGGGGAAGAAUAGUACCGGUUGGACCGGUAUAUGACUGUACCCUCAGAGAAAGCCCCGGCUAACUACGUGCCAGCAGCCGCGGAAAUACGUAGGGGGCAAGCGUUGUCCGGAUAUACUGGGUGAAAAGGGCGCGAAGGCGGGAUAAAAAGUCAGUGGUGAAAUCCUACAGCUUAACUGUAGAACUGCCUUCGAUACUUUUAUUCUUGAGUUCGGGAGAGCGCGACGGACUUCCAGGUGUAGUGGUGAAAUACGUAGAUAUCUGGAAGCACACCAGUUGCGAAGGCGGUCUCUUGGUCCGACACUGACGCUGAGGCGCGAAAGCGUGGGG
rnacentral:rRNA from 1 species